rnacentral:rRNA from 1 species
AGUGAACGCUGGCGGUAGGCCUAACACAUGCAAGUCGAACGGCAGCACAGUAAGAGCUUGCUCUUACGGGUGGCGAGUGGCGGACGGGUGAGGAAUACAUCGGAAUCUACUUUUUCGUGGGGGAUAACGUAGGGAAACUUACGCUAAUACCGCAUACGACCUACGGGUGAAAGCAGGGGAUCUUCGGACCUUGCGCGAUUGAAUGAGCCGAUGUCGGAUUAGCUAGUUGGCGGGGUAAAGGCCCACCAAGGCGACGAUCCGUAGCUGGUCUGAGAGGAUGAACAGCCACACUGGAACUGAGACACGGUCCAGACUCCUACGGGAGGCAGCAGUGGGGAAUAUUGGACAAUGGGCGCAAGCCUGAUCCAGCCAUACCGCGUGGGUGAAGAAGGCCUUCGGGUUGUAAAGCCCUUUUGUUGGGAAAGAAAAUCAGCAGGUUAAUACCCCGCUGUUCUGACGGUACCCAAAGAAUAAGCACCGGCUAACUUCGUG